AGUUUUCCAGAAACUGGCAACACUAUCUCUCCCUUCCUUCUCUCCUUUCCCCUUUCACUGUAGAAACCCAUCACUGCCCAUCCUUAAAUCCUUUGUAAACUCCAUAUACUGGAGCACACAAAUCCACAGUGGUCAAGGGCUGGAGUGGAGUCAAUAUUCACUCGUGUGCAAGGUACCAGAAGGCCAGCAUUUGCUUAUGAGUGACUGUCAGACUCAAGGUAAAAGAGACUGGGAACUUGUCUUAACGCAGGUCUUUCUUUUCCUCCCUAAAAACAGGUUCUCCUGGGUGGCGGGGAAGAGAGAGUGAGCAAUGUGCCUGCUCUUCUGGAGAGGCUUGGCUCUGGGUGCCUUUCCUCCAUUUCGCCCCCACCAUCAUGCGUUUUGAAAUGAUGGAGGACCUGUCUGUCGGCACAGGCAUGUCUUUAGUGCUUUCGUCUCUCCUGCCCCUUCUGGUCUAUACAGGGAUGCUGACGUACAGCCGCCAGCUGGCUUCCAGCGAGCGGUUGACCAUCUGAGGGGUCCUGUUGGGCUAUGCCCUCUUCAUCUUCUCCCUUACAGCCUUCGUCAACCUUGAACAUUCGAUUUUCAGCAAAGGACUCCAAGCUAAGAUCUUUCCUGAAAUCAUUACCUGCCUGCUGCUGCUGGCGCUGUUUGCUUCAGGGCUGAUUCAUUGAGUCUGCAUUAUCACUUGUUUAUCUUCUCUAAGAUCUCCCUGAACCACAUCAACAAGAUCUCCAACAAGAUCUCCAUGGUGCCCACAGUUGCCAAGAAGGUUAGGAAAUGCAGGAAGAUGAAUUGCUGCCCCCCGGGGGGGGGGAGUGGAAGACCUUCCUCAGCACAGUCCGAACGUCCAAUAAAAUCUUUUCUUUUCUUUUCUUUUCUUUUCUUUUCUUUUCUUUUCUUUUCUUUUCUUUUCUUUUCUUUUCUUUAAAAGCAGGUUCUCCUCUACUUGAAAAGUCUAGAAAUCUGCUUGGCAUAUAACACUUAGGAAUCAGAAGCGCUGGUUCCUCUCUCAGAAUGGAAUAAUUUUUAGCAUUUAAUCAAGUGGGCUCCCGGUGCCCAUUUUUAUGGAGGCAAGAAUAAUAAUUUGAAGUCUGAACACGGGCUGCUGAUAGUAGAGGCACUACAGUACUGGGUAAAAAGCCUGCAGGGGGCUACUGCAGACUCAUACUCUGAGCCUUCAUUUUUUAAAAGAAGUCUCUAAUUGCAUUUGAACAACAGUUCAGAAGCAAAACGUACAGGCACUAUUCUAAGCAAAUGUUUCAUGAGAUAUCAGCCUGUAGUAGCCUGUCCACCCAAAAGCAAGCAAGGAGCAGCAAACACAGCGGCUCAUGCUCUCUUUAACUCAGGUUUAAUUUCAUGCAAAGGUUUUCUUUUCUGAACACAUAAACAUGCUUUUAGAAAAACCUGCCAAUGCAAAUAAAUGUCAUCAUUAGUAUAUUCAUAUUGUGGGGUGGGCGGGUGUGUAUGUGGUGAGAAUAUUGGGGUUGCAAAAGCAUGGGCUGCCAUCAGCCCUGCUAAGCAACCCACCACUGCUGUACUAAUAUUGCUGGGGAAGACGGUUGAGAUAAAACAACAACAACAGCAACAACAAUCCUGCAGUGUAGUCAAGUGCUGUUAUCCAGUCUCUUGGUCUGAUUUGUUUUCCUUUCUUUUCUUGUUAGGGAAAUGUAAUCAGGGGGCUACUAAGAAAACCGUAGCAGCAACAUGGGGCUAAUUAACUGCUUUCCCAUGCAUGCGAGAAAAAUAAGGGGAUUAUUGGGGAUGGAUUGUUGCUGGUGCCAGUAUAAACACUUGUGGGUAUAUUCAUAUCAAAGGCUCAAAUACUGAAAAAAAAGGGGAAAGGGUGGAUGUUUGACCUCUGCAAAAGUUACCGUAAUAUGAGGUAUAAAUUGCGACAACAAAUGCUAACAGAAUACACUGCUUGCUUUUUAACAAUUUAAGCAUGGGCAUCCUUAGUUGCUGUAUAUCUUAAAGCUCUUUUGACACCCCCCACCCCCCCGCUACUGAAAUGCCUAGCCUGAUCCUGCUGUUAAUAUAACAUUGCCAGCAUAAGAUCAGUUGAUGAGAGAGCUACAGAAAUGUUAUGUUCCAUAUACUACAAACCAGUUGCGUCCUUUGCACAGUUUAUGGUUGGCAUUGCAGGAAAACAAGGCUUGUGCUUUUAACAGUUGUGUGAUAGGCAUAAAUUCAACAGGUUAAGUCUUUUCUAGUACGGAGCUUCACUUGUUGACAUUCUGUCCGUCAUAUAUCAUAUUACUUGUGUGUGGCCUCAUUUAUUUUAGGGUCACCUGCAAAACUGGAUGCAAAAACUUCGUAUGUCACAAAGCACACAAAUAUGUUAUGCAAUUUUGUGUCCUCUUUUGUGAGGGCAGAGGAGGCUCCUAUUUACCUCCAGGGUACAAGGCCCAGGAAAUCCUGUUUGCAUCUCUGCUUGAAUCUGCUGAAGCAGGGGUGAGAAACCUGUGGGGAGCCAACUCCCAUCAGCCCUAGCCACUACGGCCAAAGACUAGAGAAGAUGAAGUUGCAGUCCAGCAAAACGUAUUCUCCCUAGCAGAGAGCGCGUGUUGCGGUGGGGGAUACAAGCCACCCCAUUGUUGCUGGGCGGAUUUGUAGAGGGACCCAGGCAGUGAACUGGUUAAUCGGGUCACUGGGGAGAACUGCUUGUUGCCAAUUUUGAAGGAGGGGUCAGAGGUUUUAAAUACUGGUCGCCCAACUUUGAGCGUUCUCUUGGCUGCUUGCACCGGAUCACCCGCCCACCCUCCCUGUAUUGGGGGGGUUGUUCGCUUGACCUUGCUAUGCCUGUCAUGGGGUCGUCUGCUUUGAGGCAGGGGCCUGGUAGGAAUUUGUCCAUUUGGCUGAUUGGCUGGUGCCAUUUGGUUUUGCCUACUGUGUAGCAAAUCAUCACAACUUGUAAGGUUGGCGGUUAGGCAUUGGUUCAAAUUGGUUGGUGGAGGGGUAAGUGCCUACCCCUUCAAUGGUGGUGCGAAAAGGGAAUUCCGUUAAAGGAAUCCAGGGGCUUGCCAUUCUUUUCGUCCUUGUCCCUGGCAUCAGACUUGGGCCGUGCAAGCCACCAGGAGCAUGAGGGUGAGAAGUGAGGGACUAAUGCCCAGCUUCAUUUUCUCCCCAAAAUUUGUUUCCCUGACUGGCUUCCGCUGGAAUCCGGAAGUCAGUCCUGUCCCCUAGGCAAGGAUAGAUAGUCAGAAGCAAUGCCUAAGCAACCACUCACUUGGAUGUAUUUAAAUAAAGCUGUGGCCAAAAUAGUGCCAAAAACCCAAACCAAAAUUGAUGUGUGAUGUGUGAGUUAUUGGGGGGUGGCUUGAGGACCUCGACACGCAACAUCCAAAGGUUCAAAGUCUGUAGGAUUUCUGAGUAACGUUUCCUUUGGUUAGAUAUGAGCUCCAUGGCUUUUUAUGACUUGUCUUCCAGCUAAUGGACUCCACUAAUGGGCCUUUCCCUCCCCUUAUGGUCCUAUGACCCACUAGUAUCUCAAGAGUUACCAUCUCCUCCACUAUCUGUAUCCUUAUCCCUGACAGAUGUUUCAUACUCACCUGUACACCACACAUCAACACCCCCAAACCUUAGCCACCAUUACUUGGCUAUAAUAUGAUACCAGGAGAAUGCAAGCGCCUGGUAAUUAUACCCUGAGUUGCCGACAUUAUUCAAAAAAUAGUUUAGUAAAACAAUCCAGAUUGCUCGAGCAAAUAUGCCUAGGCCUACUGCUUUUAAUUACUGCCCUUUUGCAUUAACAAGAACUCUUAUGAUUAUUUCCUGUUCUGGCAACCAUUCCCAAGGCAACAUGAUUACUUGAAUCCACUAUUUCAGUUAUACUUAAAUAUUACAGUGAACCAGUUCAUAUGUCUCAUGGAUCCUGGGUGCAUUAUAGAAUGCAAAUUUCAUUGAAAUUAACAGGGAACUUAUUUCUAAGAAAUAAUGAUUAGAUUUGCUGUUCCUAGAAUCAUGUUGUUUGUAGUUAAUAUUUCGAUCCUGUCAGUUAUUUGAUACCACUGACAAAAUCUUUAUUUUAUUUUUUUCAGGUGUGCAUUUUCAUGCUAAGAUUUAUUUAAUCAUUGUGUUAGGUGUGUUUUUAAACUUUUGGUGCUUUCUGCUUUCGAAUAGGUCACAUUUGCAAUAACAUACAUGUGUGCGAUCGGCAGUCAAGUAUUUGAAACUGGUGGCUUAGCAUCGCACGAAGAAUCGUAUCUGAAUAUUUCAUGAUGUGAAAUGUGAAAAAUUGUGAACUGCGGUCAUUUUUUUGCCCACCCAAAUUCAGGAACUGAACUCCCACGCAGAGUGAUGGAAUGGAAACAGGGGUGGGCACCUUAUCCCCCAAAUGCAGAAGUGUCAAGAAGAAAGACAACUAAGCUUUUUCUUAACUAGGCCAGAAAGGAUUGGAAACGCUACACAAGAAGAACACUCGUCCCCUGUGGGCAGGGAGUGGCUGUCUGGCUGACACUCGCUCACAGCUGGCAUUGGCACACUCCAGAUGGACCUGUUUCCAGCUUUCCUUCGCCAAAGUGAGGGUUGCCGUGGGCGUCAUGGGGCCUUUGGGGAUGGGUGGAAGAGAGGAACAGUAUACAAGUGAACACAUGGCAAGGUAUUUCCUGUUUCCAUAUAUUAUUAUUUUUUAAAAGUCUGACAUUCAGAGACUGUGCCCAUGAAAUAUCAUAGUGCCCCAGUAUCAGGAAAUCGCACAGACUCUGCUGGCGCAUACCGGAUAACACCAUUUGAGUUCAUUGCAUGUCAAUAUGGGCUGUGUAUGGAAUCUAGCAGGCUAGCCAAGCAAGUUCUUUCGCUAAAUGUCACUGAAUUUUACGCAAGAAAAUAGUCAGGCCAAACCCCGAUGAAUGAGAAUUUGUUACCAAAACUUCUCUGGGAUUCAAUAAGACCUGGUUUUGACUUGAACGAGCAUCCUGGAAGACCCACUUUAAAUUGCCGUUCUCGGGAGUUGUCAAAUGUAGAAAAAUGCACCGGCCCUUUCUCACUCAAAUCCUUGUCCUUAUUUAGCUCUUUGGCCUAAGAAAACUAUUUUUUUGUCAAUACCAUUCUUAGUGGCAGUGCUUUUUUUUCCCUUAAAAAAAUGUUUAGGGGUGCUCUCAUUUUGACUCAUGAAAAUCACCAUUUUAUAGUUCAAAUUGGGAAAAAUAAAUACAGUAAAUGGACAAAAGUACAAAGAUUCACAAAAUGUUUAGGGGUAUGUGUACCCCUCCAUACCACCAGUAAAAAAAGCACUGCUUAGUGGUAUCCUUUAUUCAUUAGAUGUAUCAUUAGGGCAAAUAUUGCGGUCUCCUUUUCUACUUUCAUCAAGCAAAUGACACUAGCUUGGCGUUCCUCUGUAGCAAAAAAGAAGAAGAACUUCUGUACCUGACACCUUUUAACAUAAACUGCUUUUAAUUUUAUAAGGAAAUCUACACUUAAAUAAAUUGAUCUUCUUUAUUUAUCCAUUUCUGUGCAAACUGCUAUGUAUUGUAGUACAGUAGGUAACAGAAUACCACAACCUGGUUCAUUGCCUGGUUCAUGAGACCCUUCUAUGGGGUUAUGCUGACAACCGAGCUCACAGCAGUCAUUUAACUUCUCCUCUUCCUCCAGCUCUGACUUCCCCUGCCUCUGAUUCUCGAAUCCUGGCCGGGACAGGUCCCUGCAACUCACCGCUCCCACACCCUGAGUCCGACUCCAGACCCCCUUCAGCAACCUAGCAGUCCCUGAUACCAAAGCUAGACUGCCUCCCUCCCACCAUGCUGUCCUUCUGCUGGAAGGUGAAGACUUUCUUGUGUUCCAGCAAGCUUUUGGGAAUUGACAGCUUUUAAUUAAAGGGCUGGUGCCAUGCUGUUUUUAUUGUAAUUAUUGGUACGUUUUAAACACAUUUUAUAUAUGCAUAUAGUUUUAAUCCUACCAGUUUGAUUGUCUUUUGAUGAUUGGUUUUUCUAUUAUUUUAGCAGUUCUUGCUUUUGCGUGUUCAGACCUUUACCCCCCCC